rnacentral:rRNA from 1 species
UACAGAGGGGGCAAGCGUUGUUCGGAAUUACUGGGCGUAAAGGGCGCGUAGGCGGCCUGCUAAGUCGAACGUGAAAUCCCUGGGCUCAACCCAGGAACUGCGUCCGAUACUGCUGUUCUUGAGGAUUGCAGAGGAGACUGGAAUUCCCGGUGUAGCGGUGAAAUGCGUAGAUAUCGAGAGGAACACCUGCGGCGAAGGCGGGUUGCUGGGCCGACACUGACGCUGAGGCGCGAAAGCUAGGGGAGCGAACGGG